GGGCGUAUAGCUCAGCCGGUUAGAGUGCCACACUGAUAAUGUGGAGGUCGGUGGUUCGAGUCCACCUACGCCCAC
rnacentral:tRNA from 1 species